GACGAACGCUGACGGCGUGCUUAAUACAUGCAAGUCGAAGGGAGUGGCGAACGGGUGAGUAACACGUGAGUAACCUGCCCUUUUCUUUGGGCUAAGCCUGGGAAACUGGGUCUAAUACUGGAUGGAUUGGGAUGGGUUCGCGGCUUUUCGGCUUGUUGGUGGGGUGAUGGGUUACCACGGCUUUGUCGGGUAGCCGGCUUGAGAGGGUGGUCGGUCACACUGGGACUUGGAUACGGCCCAGACUCCUACGGGAGGCAGCAGUGGGGGAUAUUGCACAAUGGACGAAAGUCUGAUGCGGCGACGUCGUGUGGGGGAUGAAGGCCUUCGGGUUGUAAACUCCUUUCGCCCGCGGAAUGGUAGUGGGUAAAGAAGCGCCGGCUAACUACGUGCCAGCAGCCGCGGUAAUAC
rnacentral:rRNA from 1 species